CGUAGGUGGCAAGCGUUGUCCGGAAUUAUUGGGCGUAAAGCGCGCGCAGGCGGUUCCUUAAGUCUGAUGUGAAAGCCCCCGGCUCAACCGGGGAAGGUCAUUGGAAACUGGGGAACUUGAGUGCAGAAGAGAAGAGCGGAAUUCCACGUGUAGCGGUGAAAUGCGUAGAGAUGUGGAGGAACACCAGUGGCGAAGGCGGCUCUUUGGUCUGUAACUGACGCUGAGGCGCGAAAGCGUGGGGAGCAAACAGGAUUAGAUACCCUGGUAGUCCACGCCGUAAACGAUGAGUGCUAAGUGUUAGAGGGUUUCCGCCCUUUAGUGCUGCAGCUAACGCAUUAAGCACUCCGCCGUGGGGGAGUACGGCCGCAAGGCUG
rnacentral:rRNA from 1 species